UAUGAGGUCGAAUCUCCCGUUGUUCCUCAGUAGCUCAGUGGUAGAGCGGUCGGCUGUUAACCGACUGGUCGU
rnacentral:tRNA from 5 species